rnacentral:lncRNA from 1 species
AAAAGCGUAACUAAUUAAGCAAAGAGAUGCAAUUAAAAACAAUUAACAAUUGCUAAACUAGAUAGUUCUACACUAGUCGGCCCUAGGUGAGGCUUCUUGGACACUUGGAGCCCUUGAAGACACACCCACCGUCUAAUCACGUAAUUAAAGAAGUAAUUAACAAAAGUUAAGUUGCAAAGAAAAUAAAGAAAACUCCCUUUGUUGAUCUUUUUUUUUUUGCUAUUGGCACUUCUUUGGUUGUCUU